UGGAUACACUUAGUGGCGGACGGGUGAGUAACGCGUGGGUACCUGCCUCACACUGGGGGAUAACAGUUAGAAAUAGCUGCUAAUACCGCAUAAGUCCGCAUGGAAAAAACUCCGGUGGUGUGAGAUGGACCCGCGUCUGAUUAGCCAGUUGGCGGGGUAACGGCCCACCAAAGCGACGAUCAGUAGCCGGCCUGAGAGGGUGAACGGCCACAUUGGGACUGAGACACGGCCCAAACUCCUACGGGAGGCAGCAGUGGGGAAUAUUGCACAAUGGGGGAAACCCUGAUGCAGCGACGCCGCGUGAGUGAAGAAGUAUUUCGGUAUGUAAAGCUCUAUCAGCAGGGAAGAAGUGACGGUACCUGAAUAAGAAGCCCCGGCUAACUACGUGCCAGCAGCCGCGGUAAUACGUAGGGGGCAAGCGUUAUCCGGAUUUACUGGGUGUAAAGGGAGCGUAGACGGCAAGGCAAGUCUGAAGUGAAAGCCCGGUGCUUAACCCCGGGACUGCAUUUGGAACUGUCAGGCUAGAGUGUCGGAGAGGAAAGCGGAAUUCCUAGUGUAGCGGUGAAAUGCGUAGAUAUUAGGAGGAACACCAGUGGCGAAGGCGGCUUUCUGGACGAUGACUGACGUUGAGGCUCGAAAGC
rnacentral:rRNA from 1 species